rnacentral:rRNA from 1 species
CUGCAGUCGAACGGUAGCAGGAAGUGCUUGCACUUUGCUGACGAGUGGCGGACGGGUGAGUAAUGCUUGGGAACUUGCCUUUGCGAGGGGGAUAACAGUUGGAAACGACUGCUAAUACCGCAUAAUGUCUACGGACCAAACGGGGCUUAGGCUUCGGCGCAGAGAGAGGCCCAAGUGAGAUUAGCUAGUUGGUGGGGUAAAGGCUCACCAAGGCGACGAUCUCUAGCUGUUCUGAGAGGAAGAUCAGCCACACUGGGACUGAGACACGGCCCAGACUCCUACGGGAGGCAGCAGUGGGGAAUAUUGCACAAUGGGGGGAACCCUGAUGCAGCCAUGCCGCGUGUGUGAAGAAGGCCUUCGGGUUGUAAAGCACUUUCAGUUGUGAGGAAAAGUGAGUAGUUAAUACCUGCUCACCGUGACGUUAACAACAGAAGAAGCACCGGCUAACUCCGUGCCAGCAGCCGCGGUAAUACGGAGGGUGCGAGCGUUAAUCGGAAUUACUGGGCGUAAAGCGCACGCAGGCGGUUUGUUAAGCUAGAUGUGAAAGCCCCGAGCUCAACUUGGGAUGGUCAUUUAGAACUGGCAGACUAGAGUCUUGGAGAGGGGAGUGGAAUUCCAGGUGUAGCGGUGAAAUGCGUAGAUAUCUGGAGGAACAUCAGUGGCGAAGGCGACUCCCUGGCCAAAGACUGACGCUCAUGUGCGAAAGUGUGGGUAGCGAACAGGAUUAGAUACCCUGGUAGUCCACACCGUAAACGCUGUCUACUAGCUGUUUGUGGCUUUAAGCCGUGAGUAGCGAAGCUAACGCGAUAAGUAGACCGCCUGGGGAGUACGGCCGCAAGGUUAAAACUCAAAUGAAUUGACGGGGGCCCGCACAAGCGGUGGAGCAUGUGGUUUAAUUCGAUGCAACGCGAAGAACCUUACCUACACUUGACAUGCAGAGACUU